rnacentral:rRNA from 1 species
AUUGAACGCUGGCGGCAGGCCUAACACAUGCAAGUCGAGCGGAUGAAGGGAGCUUGCUCCUGGAUUCAGCAGCGGACGGGUGAGUAAUGCCUAGGAAUCUGCCUGGUAGUGGGGGAUAACGUCCGGAAACGGGCGCUAAUACCGCAUACGUCCUGAGGGAGAAAGUGGGGGAUCUUCGGACCUCACGCUAUCAGAUGAGCCUAGGUCGGAUUAGCUAGUUGGUGGGGUAAAGGCCUACCAAGGCGACGAUCCGUAACUGGUCUGAGAGGAUGAUCAGUCACACUGGAACUGAGACACGGUCCAGACUCCUACGGGAGGCAGCAGUGGGGAAUAUUGGACAAUGGGCGAAAGCCUGAUCCAGCCAUGCCGCGUGUGUGAAGAAGGUCUUCGGAUUGUAAAGCACUUUAAGUUGGGAGGAAGGGCGGUAAGUUAAUACCUUGCUGUUUUGACGUUACCAACAGAAUAAGCACCGGCUAACUUCGUG